GUAGAAAUGAAGAUGUUGAAACUCUAAGACCCUUUAAUUUUGUUUUCCAGGCAACAGCAAAGCAGCACCACAGUGUCCUCUCCAUCUGUACUCAACAAAACAUUAUCCCCAUAUAGUGACUGUCCAGUCUUUCCCAACAAUGGCAACAUAUGGACAGACUCAGUACAGUGCAGGAAUACAACAGGCUGCUGCAUACACUUCCUACCCUCCUCCAGCGCAGCCCUAUGGCAUACCUUCCUACAGCAUCAAAACAGAGGACAGCUUGAGCCAUUCCCCAGGACAGAGUGGGUUUCUUAGUUAUGGAUCCAGUUUCAGUACUCCAACUGCUGGACAAGCACCAUAUACCUACCAAAUGCA